AUUAUCCCCCUCCCCACAAAAUCCAAGCCAUGUGCCUAUAGUAGAGAGGAUUGCUUUAGUGGCACAUGAAAAAACAUUCAAGCGAGGUCAUUGCCAGUGCCGCUGGACUGGCUCCUGUGCAGGUGGCACGUAAAAAAACACCAUUUGAGCAUGGCCGUUGCCAGUACUGCCUGACUGGCCCUCUUGCCGGUGGCACGUAAAAGCACCCACUACACUCUCGGAGUGGUUGGUAUUAGGAAGGGCAUCCAGCUGUAGAAACUGCCAGAUCAGAUUGGAGCCUGGUGCAGCCAUCUGGUUCGCCAGUCCUCAGUCAAAUCGUCCAACCCAUGCUAGCAUGGAAAGUGGACGUUAAACGAUGAUUAUUAUUAUUAUCAUUAUCAUAUUGCCGAGCAAUGGUUCAUUCAUUAUCUAGCUGAAAGUGUGUGGUGCAUGUUGAGGACCUUGAUGGGUGCUAACGCAGCCAAUGCAUGGCCCUUAGUCAAGGACAGUGUUGGUUGGGGAGUUUAACUGGGCUUGUAUGUCUGUCAACUGAUAACAUAGGCACCCCUAAGCAAGCUCAGCCUGGACAGAAACCACACAUUGCACAAAAAGGCAAAAGAUCACUCAGUCUUCAUUUCCAGUAUUGACUGCAAAGGCAUAGCCCAUUGGUCCUUUCUAGAAAGUAGCAAGCUAUGUGUCUACUGCGAAGUGCCAGACAAGCAUUCUCAGGGAUACCACUUUUUGAUCCUUCGGAGUUCAGAUCUUCCAAUCUUACAACAAAGCAGAAUUCAUAAAGAAUUGGAUUGUUUGUCCACUAAUAAGGAAUGUGAAGCUGGGAUUAGAGUGUUGUGAGACAGAUUAGUUUUAGCC
rnacentral:ncRNA from 1 species